GGCAAGAUGGCCGAGUGGUUAAGGCGGUGAGUGUUUCCAUGUGUCCUGUUUGUCUUUCGACAUCUCAGCUAAUGAUCACCCAGUUACGUUUAGGCCGUAAUGGGAAACCGCGUGGGUUCGAAUCCCACUCUUGUCA
rnacentral:tRNA from 2 species